AGAAAGAAAGAAAGAGAGAAAGAGAGAGAAAGAGAGAAAAGUGCGACCCAGAGUGCGACAUCACCGUACAUCUGUCCCUCUUUUCUUUCCCCCUUUAUUUCCCU
rnacentral:ribozyme from 1 species